ACUGAAACAUCUAAGUACCCUGAGGAAAAGAAAUCAACCGAGAUUCCCUUAGUAGUGGCGAGCGAACGGGGACUAGCCCUUAAGUUGCUUUGAGAUUAGCGGAACGCUCUGGAAAGUGCGGCCAUAGUGGGUGAUAACCCUGUACGCGAAAAUCUCUUAGUCAUGAAAUCGAGUAGGACGGAGCACGAGAAACUUUGUCUGAAUAUGGGGGGACCAUCCUCCAAGGCUAAAUACUACUGACUGACCGAUAGUGAACUAGUACCGUGAGGGAAAGGCGAAAAGAACCCCGGAGAGGGGAGUGAAAUAGAUCCUGAAACCGUAUGCGUACAAGCAGUGGGAGCCUACUUU
rnacentral:rRNA from 1 species